rnacentral:rRNA from 1 species
UACGAAGGGUGCUAGCGUUGUUCGGAAUUACUGGGCGUAAAGCGCGCGUAGGCGGCUUCGCAAGUCAGAGGUGAAAUCCCCAGGCUCAACCUGGGAAUUGCCUUUGAAACUGCAAAGCUAGAGUGUCGGAGGGGAUAGCGGAAUUCCUAAUGUAGAGGUGAAAUUCGUAGAUAUUAGGAGGAACACCGGUGGCGAAGGCGGCUAUCUGGACGACAACUGACGCUGAGGCGCGAAAGCACGGGGAUCAAACAGG